GGUACGACUCUCGGCAACGGAUAUCUCGGCUCUCGCAUCGAUGAAGAACGUAGCGAAAUGCGAUACCUGGUGUGAAUUGCAGAAUCCCGCGAACCAUCGAGUCUUUGAACGCAAGUUGCGCCCGAGGCCACCCGGCCGAGGGCACGCCUGCCUGGGCGUCACGC
rnacentral:rRNA from 5 species